ACAAUCAGUUUUCUUAUUGUUAUAUGUAUUAUUUUAAUUGAUAAUUUAAUAAUGUUGGUGCUUAAGACCCUUAAUAUUAUUGGUGUCUAAAAACUAAAGCCCUUUUUGGUCAUUUAUCUUAAAUGUGCAUUUAAAAGUAUGACUGUAUGGAGGUUGUUUGUUUGUUUUUUUUUUUGUUACGUAUAUCUAUGCAUAAUAUUACCUACAUGAGUUAGGAUUUAUUAAAAUGUUGUUUAUUUUAUUUACAUGCAUGUGAACCAAGUUUUAUAUUGUUUUUUUUUAUGAGAUUUAUAAGGUGCUUUAUAUGAUAUUUUUGGUGUUAAGUACUGAACAGUGGAGGUUCAGUGUUAAGAGGGGGGCUGUGUAAUGUUUUUGCCCUAUCAUAGAU
rnacentral:lncRNA from 1 species